rnacentral:lncRNA from 1 species
GGCUGCACAUGUGGCCUAUGGAAGUUCCCAGGCCAGGGGUCACAUCUGAGCUGCAGUUGCUGGCUUACACCACAGCCACAGCAAUACCAAAUCUGAGCCACAUCUGUGACCUAUGCUGUAGCUUGUGGCAGUCCUGGAUCCUAAACCCAUGGAGUGAGGACAGGGAUUGAACCUGCAUCCUCAUGGAUACUAGUCAGAUUCUUAAACUGCUGAGCCACAACAGGAAUACCAUAAUGUGCACUUUUAACCUGAUUCCUCCACUUUAUUUGAUUUUUAUUUUUUAUGGCUGCACCUGUGGCAUAUGGAGGAUCCCACUCCAAGGCCUGAAUCUGAGCGACAGCUGGACCUCUGCCGGAUCCUUUAACCCACUGAGCUGGGCUGCAGAUCCAACCAGACCUCCACAGUGACCCAAGCUACUGCACUUGGAUUCUUAACCCACUGCAUCACACAGAGGGAACUCCUCUUCCACUUAAAAAAAUUUUUAUUUUGUCUUUUUGCCAUUUCUUAGGCUGUUCCCGUGGCAUAUGGAGGUUCCCAGGCUAGGGGUCUAAUCGAAGCUGUAGCCACCGGCCUGCGCCAGAGCCACAGCAACGUGGGAUCCGAGCCGAGUCUGCUACCUACACCACAGCUCACGGCAAUGCCAGAUCCUUAACCCACUGAGCAAGGCCAGGGAUCCAACCUGCAACCUCAUGGUUCAUAGUCAGAUUCGUUAACCACUGAGCCAGGACGGGAAUUCUUCCUCUUCCACUUUAGACCUUCAAUAUUUUCUGGUGUUUCAUUCAGCAUAGAUUAGAUUACACUGCAAUAACAAAUGACCCUUAAAUCUCAUAGACUUAUAACAACAGAAAUCUAGUCUUGGAGCAAGUGGAAGAGCUAGAUUUUAAAUAAAUAAUCACAAAACUAAAGACAUUAUUUUACUUUAUUUUUUAUUCUUUGCUUUUUAGGGCCACACCUGUGGCAUAUGGAAGUUCCCCGGCUAGGGGUGGAAUCAGAGCUUCAGCUGCCAGCCUAUGCCACAGCCACAGCAAUGCUGAGUGAGGCCAGGGAUCGAAUCAGCAUCCUCAUGGAUACUAGUUGGAUUCGUUUCUGCUGUGCAAUAAUGGGAACUCCUAAAGACAUAAUUUUAAAGUAUGACUAUGGUUUGAAGAAAAAAUCUCAAAGAACAGUAAAAACAGAUUUUGUAUGGGUUAAUGGACAAGGAAACAUCUCUGAAGAAAUGAUAUUUGAACUGUAAUAUGAAUGAUAGAGAGGUGACUGGGAGGAAUGAUCUAGACAAAGGGACUUGAGGUGGAAAAGAGUCUAUUUGGGGAGAAAAGAAGGCCAAAAUAACGGGGGCAGAAAGAGGGAAAGACAGCAUGGGACCUAGGGGUCAAAUUAAGAUUCUUUUUUAAACUUAUCCAAACAGCGCUGGGAGGCCACUGAAAGAUUUUAAGAAGAUGAGCAGCAAGCUAGAUUUUCAUUUUACUUCUUAUUUUUUAAUUAAUUAAUUAAUUUAUUUUUUUGCUUUCUAGGGCCGUACCCAUGGCAUAUGGAGGUUCGCAAGCUAAGGGUCAAAUUGGAGCUGUAGCCUCGGGCCUAUGCCACAGCUACAGCAAUGCAGGAUCCUUAACCCACUGAGCAAGGCCUGGGAUUGAACCUGCAUCCUCAUGGAUGCUCGUAAGAUUCAUUAACAGCUAAGCCAUGACGGAAACUCCUAGAUUUUAAUUUUAAGUUACUGUUCGUACUGCUGGUAGAGAAUGGCUUGGAGAACAGGUGGUGGACAGAGGUGGAUUUCCUAUAAUAGGAACACAGCAUAAGUUGUAGGACCCUCUCUUUAUAGGUCCCUCCAACACCCUGAGAGAGACCUGACAGUGUGCUCACAUGGCUGUACUAACUCUGUGUGAAUAUUUUUGUAUUUUUCUUGAGGAAAUACACCUCCUGCAUCAAUCAUAAGAAUCCUCCUGUGGAUGUUGAAAAAAGCAAGAGAAUUAAAAACCCUGAAAAAGUUAAAAAAAAAAAAAAGAAUCCUCCUGUGGGAGGGAUCGGGAGCUUGGGGUUACCAGACACAACUUAGAAUAGAUUUACAAGGAGAUCCUGCUGAGUAGCAUUGAGAACUAUGUCUAGAUACUCAUGUUACAACAGAACAAAGGGUGGGGAAAAAAUGUGUACAUGUAAGGAUAACUUGAUCCCCUUGCUGAACAGUGGGAACAAAUAAAUUAAAAAAAAAAAAGGCCAACUAUAUGAAGAUAACCUCCAAAACAAACAAACAAACAAAACAAAACAAAACAAAACAAAAAAACUGAAAAGAAGAAAAAAAAAAAGAGAAUUCUCCGAAAGCUGGGUCUUCUGACACGCAAUAGGAAUAAACUUCCAGGAUAAACUUUCAAGCAUUUACUAAAUAAUUUCAGGAAAGUGUGAAUCUGGAAUCUUGAAGAAUUAAGCCAUGAUUCUCAGCCCCUUGUUGUCUGUUGUAUCAGGCAUGGUUCUUGGUGGUGGGCAGCUCUGGCUGACUUCAGUAAAAUGGGAAUUUGUUGGAAGGAUAUUAGAGCAGGGGUUGGCACACUUUUUCUGUAAAGGGUCAGAGGGUAAAUAUUUACAGCUUUGCAGGCCAUGGGUUGUCUAUUGUAACUACUCAAGUCUGCCAUCGUAAGGUGAAAGUAGCCAUUGACAAUAUGUAUUUUUAUUUAUUUUUUAAAUUUAUUUCUGCCUUUUAGGGCUGCACCCACGUCAUAUGAAAGUUCCCAGGAUAGGGGUCCAAUCGGAGUUAGAGCUGCUGGCUUACACCACAGCCUCAGCAAUGCCAGAUCUGAGCCAUGUCUGCGACCUAUACCACAGCUCAUGGCAAUGCCGGAUCCUUAAUCCACUGAGCAAGGUCAGGGAUCGAACACACAACCUCAUGGAUCCUAGUCAGGUUCUUUAAUCACUGAGCCAUUAUGGGAACUCCCCACUGACAAUAUGUAAAUGAAUGAACAUGACUGUGUGCUAAUAAAACUUUAUUUAUAAAAAUAGCCUGCAGGCUAGAUUUGGAGGGUAGCCCACAGUUUGCUGAGCCCUGUGUUCAGAUACUCUAGACUCUUGGGCCACUGUUUAGACCACAAUUUGCACAUGGGUGGGGGCUCAGAAUUCAUUAUAUCCUGUACAUUGCCCCAGAUCUACUUGAUUGUACACUCACCCUUGUCUUAGCCACUUGUGCUGCCAUUCCCAUGAGUAAAGCCCUGACUACUGCCAUGGCUUUUACUGCACCACAGAAUGAAGAGCUGUGGGUCUACUACUUAAGAACUUGGUGACCCUAGACAUGUCACUCCCUAAUGAAGGGGUUCAACUGGAUCAGGAAUGACGUGUCUAUGUUUCCUGAGGGGCUGCGAGGAGAAAGACUGGCUAUACUAGCAUUUGGUAGGAAAGAUGGUGUGAUAGAUGAGUUAUGUCUGCCAUGGGCACCAAGAUAUAGAGAGGUAGCCACCAGCCAGAAUGGCCAUCAUCAAAAAAUCUACAAACAAUAAAUACUAGAGAAGGUGCUGAGAAAAAGAAACCCUCUUGCACUGUUUGUGGGAAUGUAAAUUGGUGCAACAAGUAUGGAAAACAAUAUGGAGGUUCCUCAAAAAACUAAAAAUAGAUCUGUCAUAUGAUCCAGCAGUCCUACUCCUGGGCAUCUAUCUGGAAAAAAACAUAAUUCAGAAAGAUACAUGUACUCCAAUAUUCAUUGCAGUACUAUUUACAAAAGCCAAGACAAGGAAGCAACCUAAAUGUCCAUCGACAAGGGAAUGGAUGAAGAAAAUGUGGUACAUAUAUACAAUGGAAUAUUACUCAGCCAUAAAAAGAAUGAAAUAAUGCCAUUUGCAGCAACAUGGAUGGAUUUAGAAAUUAUCAUACUAAGUGCAAUUAGCCAGACAGUCAAAGACAAACAUGAUAUGAUAUCACUUAUACGUGGAAUCUAAAAAAGGAUACAGGAAUUCCUGUUGUGGCACAGCAGAAACGAAUCUGACUAGGAGCCAUGAGGUUGCGGGUUCAAUCCCUGGCCUAGCUCAGUGGGUUAAGGAUCUGGUGUUGCUGUGAGAUGUGGUGUAGGUCACAGAUGUGGCUCGGAUCUGGUGUUGCUGUGGCUGCGGUGUAGGUUGGCAGCCGUAGUUCUGAUUAGACCCCUAGCCUGGGAACCACGGGUGUGGCCCUGAAAAGACAAAAGACAAAAAUAAAAUAAAAUAAAAUAAAUAAAAAAAGGAUACAAAUGAACUUAUUUGCAGAACAGACUCACCGAUUUUGAAAAACUUGUGGUUAGCAAAAGGGACAGGUGAGGGUAGGCAGGUUUGGACGAGGAGGGUGGGUUUGGGAUUGGCGUAUGAACACUGAGGUAUAUGGAAUAAUUGUCCAAUGGGGACCUGCUAUAUAGUACAGAGAACUUGCCCAAUAUUCUGUGAUAAUCUAUAUGGGAAAAUACUGUGAACAAAAAUGGAUGUGUGUAGAUGUAUAACUGAAUCACUGUUGUACAGCAGAAAUGUUCAAAGCUUUGUAAAUCAACUAUACCCCAAUAAAACUUAAAAAAAGAGAAGUUGGUUCUGAAAAGCUGUAGUUCUGUGUCUGGGUACUUCCUUGGGAACAUUCUGGAGGUGGAACAGGGACAUGAAAUAUUGUCACUUGGCGUGGAAGUGUGGUCUCUAACUUUACAAAUUCCCAACACGUCUGCUUUUUUUUUUUUAAUUUAAAAUUAAAUUUUUUUUUUUUUUUUUUUUUUUUUUUUUUUUUUUGCUUUUUAGGGCUGCACCGUGGCAUAUGGAAAUUCCCAGGCUAGGGGGUCCAAUCAGAGCUGCAGCUGCUGGCCUAUGCCACAGCCACGGCAAUGUGGGAUUUGAGCCACAUCUGUGUCCUAAACCACAGGUCACAGCAACAUUGAUCCUUAACCCACUGAGCGAGGCCAGGGAUUGAACCUGCAUCCUCAUGGAUACAAGUUGGGUUUGUUAACUGCUGAGCCACAAUGGGAACUCCACACCUGCUUUUAUGAAAGGAAUGAAGCUUCUGAUUCUCCACUCAUGAUAGACAUACCUAGGAUACAGAUGGCCGUCAGGAAAAAGAAAUUAAAUCAUAAUGCCUUUCACAUCAGUUUUACUAUUUAAGCACAAAAGAAAGAUUCCAAUACAUUGUUUUUUGCUUUUUUUUUUAACAGCCGAACCUGUGGCAUAUGGAGGUUCCCAGGCUAGGGGUCCAAUGAGAGCUACAGCUGCCAGCCUAUGCCACAGCCAUAGCAUCAGAUCUGAGCUGCGCCUGCAACCUACACCACAGCGCACAGCAAAGCCGGAUGCUUACUCCACUGAGCGAGGCCAGGGAUCAAACCUUCAACCUCAUGGUUCCCAGUCAGAUUCUUUUCCACUGUGCCAUGAUGGGAACUCUGUCUAAUACAUUUUUUUUUAAAACUUUUUCCCUGCUCUGGAGAAAUUGUAAUUUAUGUGUCUUAUCCUGGAUGAGAGCGUAGAAUCAACUAGAAAGAAUAUUAGGAAUGGCUUUCUGGAAUAAGUAGGAGUAGGAGGUAGUAGAAAGAGGUGAAAGAGAGAGAGGUGGGGUACUCAAGCUUGGGGAAAUGGUCAUGGCAAAGGCUUAGAGGCAGAGAUCAGUGAGACAAUAUUAGUUUUGACGGAAGAGUGAAUUCAUGGUGGGGAAGGUGGGAGAUGAGUUUAGCUGAUUUCUAGUAGGGGGUGGGAUUGUCAGGGUGUGAGUAAUCAAGAUAUGGAGCUUGGCCUUGAUCUCUAUAUAAUGAGGCACUGUUGUGUCUUCUUGAGUAUUCUAGGGAGAUCAAGAAUUGUGAAUGGUAUGAAGGACAGAGGAAGGAUGAGAUGGGCAAGCACAGAGGCAAGGAAGGGAAUGUGCAAAGAUGCAGACAAGAGAGGAUGAAACUAGAGAGUGACAUGUAAGGGAAGAGAACAAAUUCAAAGUGGGCCUGGGCUGGGCAUAGUGGCUGGUGACCAAUGAAGAAUGCAGGAAGAUGGGAGUCAUAGAUAACUGCAGAGGUUUGAGGUUGAGGGCUCCAGGGAACACUUGAAAGAUGGACCAGGAAGAAAUGACUCAUCUUUAGCAAUGAGUUUUCAAUGAUGGAGGAUAUGACCACAGGUUAUUUCAGUGGGAAAGGUCAAAUAUACAUGUGCCAUAGACUUGGAAUUCUCUGAUCCAGCUUCCAACCUAGGCCCAGCUUAUGGAGGUAACCUGCCUUGACUCCUGUCAUUGAGCAUUUUUAGAAGUCUUCCAGCGAGCUCCUACCUCCAAGGUAAGAAUAACCUUAUUAGUCAGCUCCUUCAAUUAGAAAAGAAAUUUGAUGGAUCAAGGUUUAGCAGUCAGUGGAAAGGGGGCUGAAAUGGAAGCCAGAACUUGACUAUGUCACUGACUUACUGUGUGGUAUUUGACAAGCUAUUUUUAACCUCUCUGGACUUGCAUCAGAUUGUCUGAAAGAUAAUAAGGCAACACUAGGGUAUCUGCAAUAGCUCCAACAUGCUCUGAUUCAGAGUGGUUGAAAGUUGAAACUCUGAGAAUGGGUGAAUGGAUGGAUUAUCUUGGACAAAUGAUAGAACCUAGUGCAUUAUGUGGGGGGCUGGCAGCAUUAGUUAGAAGGGAGAGACCAGAAAAGCAGGAAGCAGCUCUAUUAGCCAGAGAGAGAGAAAGCCCAUGAGGAGAAUGGAUCAAGGAAGAGGGAUCUUGGAGAGAGAACAAUUCUUGUCUCACUGAAUUUCCAGAGGUUGAGAAGGAAUCACUGGGAGAUGGGAAUGGAUAUGGUUUCCAGAGGAGAAGGUUGUAAUUUCAGGGGAAAUUCCAGAGCCAGUGAAGAUCUGAUUAGGGUGGGAGGUGGUGAGUGGGCAUUGAUUUAUCAGUGGAAGAUCUUGAGCAUUAUUCAUUUACAUUUGUGGGAGCAUGAUUCAUGGCAGAAAGAAGAGGGCUUCAGCUGAGCACGGGA